ensembl:lncRNA
UUUUAUCUCCCGUGAGUUUUAUUGCCCUCGAGCUCAUUUUCAGCCUCCUUUUUCAUAUUAAAGAGGAAUGUGGGUGUGAGGAGACAGAGCUGAAGGCGCGAGGCCGGUGAUGUGUUUCAAUAACACAAGGGGGCAGUGGUGGUACCAUCUAUCAGUGGCGUCCCGCUCCACUAACCACACAGCAGGCUUUUAUUUUGCCCACAAACGUCCAAACCACGGUCCCUUAUUGUGUCCACGGUUCUUGUCUCACAUGACCGCCCGCCCCGAGGACCUCAGGCCUCCUUGUGUCCCGAGCUCCGGGUCCAGACCGCUGCCCCCCCCUCGGGAGAAGACGGCGGUAACGCACGCCCUCGCUGCACCGAAGACACAAACGCUGGACGGUUUCUUCCGUCUCCAUCCAGACGGGAGAAGGAAAAGUGCGCCGAUGGCGGGAAGGCGCUCUGCUGCUGUUGUUGUUCCCUGUCCUCCACCCUCCGCUGCCCCACCGCCACGCACCGCCAACCCAACACCGCCCCGCCAAAACUCCCCGCACGGCGACUUCGAGAGGCGGCGAAGAAGCCGGUCGGCAUCUCCCUGCGACGAGCCACCUGCCCCGGGGGGGGGCGUUGAAGUCCGUGAGACGGCUCCGCGACCCGCCGCCGCGUCCCCCCACCCGGGCUGCCGGCUGCCUGCGGAGCCGAAUGGAUCGGAAGCGCCACCGCCGCCGGCGGCCUCCUCCUCCUCCUCCAUCUCACACGGGUCGCUCUCAGAUUUCAGCCGCCCACCGUCCAGCCGGUUCAGCCGCAGCACCGACCUCGCCAGCGGCCGGAGCAGCGUCCUGUCCGGCGCAGAUCUCGGAGACUCGGAGCCAGGAGGCGGCGUUUGCUCCUCACCGCUCCAGCCUCGCCCGGUGACGGGGUCACCCUCGGCUCCUCGCCCUCCGCCGGCAUCCCACCCUCGCCAACCAUCCGCCGAUGCUUCGGCCACCCCUCUCCUCUACGAACCGCUAUUUGGGCAAACCCGACCCCUCUCGCCGCCGUCGACGUCAGGACGCUGUGGCACCGCAGCAUCCCGCUACUCCGAGCUCAGCUGCACUCAGUCCCGCGCGUUCGAUGAGCUGGAGGCCAUCGCCCCUCGCUCGCUGUCCUCCCCGUCUCUGGACCGGCUGUCGGACUCCUCCGGGUGCCCUUCACCUGACACAGAGCUGUCUCCGGGCCUGGCGGCGCUGACGGUGGGCUGUGACUCCGGGACCCUGGGCUCUCUGUCCCGGGUGCAGCUGCUCCUCCUGGACCGGCCGCAGCCCGACACCCGGCCGGGUCUGUUCGGCCCGGAAGAGGAGCUCUCGCCGGUGCAAGACUGGCCUCGUCUCGCGAUGCAACAUGAAGGUGGCGUGAGGCCCCGCACAGCUGGCGGCGUCUCUGAAAGGUGUGACUCCGCAGGGAAAGUCCACGAAAACAAAUCGGUUCCAGCGGAGGGGAAGGGGGCCCCGCCGAGGAGGAGGAGGAGGCCAAUUAUCCGGGAUGGGGGCAACAAGUCGAAUCCUCAGCCGCAGGACGGAGGCCCGCGAGCCUUGAUGGCAGAAGUGAGGAGAGGAAGCGGAGGAUGGAGGAGAGGAAAACAAAGGUGCUGAGCUUGCUCUCCAAGCUGCAGGACGACGGGCCGCGGCAGCCAAAGGGCCACCGGAGCUGCUCCAACUUCCAGGACUGAGGACGCUGAUGAUGACGGCUACAUAUCCUGCCUUCAGGCUCUGCUCGCGCUCAAGAGCGUCAUCCCCGCGGAGCGGCUGUCCGACGAAGAAGAAAUCUACGUCUACAGGAUCUUAGAGAUGGUGGACUUCAGCGUGACAGAUGGGCUGGUGGACCUCCGGCUCUUUGCUGUGAUUGCGAGCCUGGCGCAGAAAGUGGCGGCCAUGGAUGAGUUCAUGCGAUCGCUAAUCACCGACAUGGACUUCCGCUCGUUAGAAGUGAGGCUCUUCAAAGCGAAGCAACUGUUCCUGUUCCUCAUGGAGGAGCAGCAAGGAGACGCCGGAGCCCAGCGGGGCUCCAUCAGCGCGGAGCAGCUCCUUCUGGAGCUGAAGGCCGGGGGCAUCCACCUGGAGCAGGAGGCGGCCGUGCGGCUGGAGCUGCAGCGCAUCCCCCCCCUGGACCUGCUGGACUUCCUGGCCUACCUGCCGCUCUUCAUGCUCAUUCACAAGUCGGUCAUCGCCAACCCUCUCAAUGACUCCGGCGACCUCUGACCUCGGCCCUUGGCACCUGGCGAAGCAGCGUCACUGCCGUUAAAUCCACCAACACGCAGGAACCCUUCAUUUAAUUUGUUUUGUUUUUACAUUACUAGUAAAGAUAAGUCUGGUUAUUAGCUAUUUAGUUAGCCUGGAAUGCUAACGUGCAGUUAGCUGCUAACUGCCAGCUCAGCACGUUGAGCGUUAUGAAACUUUUGCAACUUCUUUUCACAACCACUUGAUGUUUGUCUCAUUGAUUAAUAUAUUGUUCUGUGGUUCCUGUUAACGUUUCAUGGAGCUGUGAAGUGCUGUCUAUGGUCCUGAAAUGUUUCCGUAGAUGUUGCAGCCGUUUGAAAAAGCUUUAAACGCAUCAAAAAGUUGCAUUAAAUAAAAGCACCUCCAAACGGGGCGGGGCUCUCUUCUUUGGGGGGCGGGGCUCUCCUCUUCAGGGGGCGGGACUCACCUUAAAACGUUCAGAUGCAUCUGGGUGUUCUGGAGAAAACAACAUGUGAAACGCUGCGACUGCCGUGGUCUUCUAUCCAACUUAAUCAACACUGAUGAAUGAAACUCAAUGAGAUAUUCAACCAAUGAACUUUGAGCCAUUGUUUUGCCUCAGCUUUGCCAAUUAGAUAAGGCCCGUGUUCUCCUGAGGCUCAUGCACGCUCCACAGGCCGCCACAGAGGAGAAGGUAAUGGACUGUGACAGGGCAACAGACCCGGACUGCUAAAAUCCCAACAAACUAGAGAAAGAAUUUAUUCUAAAUAUUCUAAUCAAGUAUGGAUCACAAAACACUGAACUUAAAGGAGUCUUUAUGUUUUCAUUUUAGUAACUAAAAACAUUUAUUUAAGCACACUGAUUGGGAGGAAGACAUUCUCCAAAUACAAUCUCUCUCUGGAUUCCUCCUGUCUUGUCCUUCAAAAAAAUGAUUCCACAAAGUUUGAUACAAAUCUACUUUGUUAUAUUUAACAACAGAACAGAAGGAAUCCAGUAUAUAAUAUAAAUGACAUACUAAAAGUCUGUGGUUGUGUAUUUGGGCAUAGACGUUGUUGUUCGCAAUCGUUUUACCUCUUCUUUUAUUGGACAUUAUUUGGCAAGUUGUCUUUUAUUUGUUUAUCCAAAUCAAAUUUAGGAAUAAAAAAUGCUGACGAGACACGUUUUGUAGUUGAAGU